AAAUAAGAAUGAUAUUGUAAAAUUAUGAUGUUCCCUAAGCGUCUUAGUUAUUGUGAAAACAGUAAGAGACAAGUGAUAUAUAUUAUUUUAGUAAGAAGAAACUGGCAUCCGUUUUAUAAAUAUCACUUAUUUCAUACAUCAUUCAAGCUCCAAUGUUAGACGUUUAAUUCAUUUUAUAGGUAACUUUUAAAAAUUAACCUUUUACCAACUCUGUUGAAUAUUUCUUUAUUCGUUCAGACGCAAAGCAUUUAACAAUAAUUGACGAAAAUGCUACGCUACAUUGAUAGAAAUAGAAAAUGAUUGAAUUUGAUUGAGUUUAGGCCACACCAUGCAUAACAAACUCAAUUACCUAAAAGAUGAAGAUAAUUAAGCAUUCUUUUUCUUUGUUUCUUUGACAACAAACUUGUUGAUUAAAACAUCAAAUGAAUGAUUCAAUAUACGGUGCGUUUAUUAAAUGAGAAUCAAAAUGGGCUGGAAUCAAAAUAGAGGAAUGAGAAUGGGCUAGAAUAGAAAUGGGAAAUAGGAAUCAGAAUUAAUUGUUUACUUAAACUAUAUGAAUCAGAAUCGAAAUGAGUUAAAUAGUAACAAAUUACUAAAAAGUUAAUGAUAAUAAUAGUAGUAGCAGCAACAAUAGUAGUAAUAUUAUUAUUGUUAAAAUUAUUAUUAAUAUUUUAAUUAAUUAUAAUUUAUCAUUAACAAUAAUAAUAUUCUUUAAUAACAACAAUCAUCAUCAUCAUAAUCAUAACAAUCAAAAUCCAUAAUAGUCCAUUUUCCCAAAAAAAAAAUAUAUAUAUAACAGCAAUAAUCAAAAUCGAAAUCAUCAUCGUUAUCAACAGCGGCAGCAACAAAUCGUCAUCGUUAGCAGAUCAUCAUUAGAUUGGAAACGUAGCCAUUAGAGACGAAUUCGAAGAUGAAAUGGAGACAAAACGAGACAGGGACGAAACCGAGACGGAGACGAAAUCGAGAUGGCCCAAUGGAAAUGAAAAUGGUAACCAACUACUGUCCACAACCGACAGACCAGUGACGACAAAGAUGGUGGAUGAGUUUGACCGCUAUGGUGAUGGAAGCAGCUGCGAUGGCGUUCGGCUGGGAUCCUCGUGUGAGAGAGUUUAGGUUUUAAGGAUUUUUUGUUUUUAUUUUUCGCUAUUUAUAUUUUUUAUUUGAAGUGAGGGCAUUUUUGGAAUAAUAAAAAAUUAAUGGCGGCAGAAUGUAAAAUUUUGGGAAUGUAAGUCUGAUUCCCAAGUCCCCCAGAAAUUAAAGUCUCAUUCCUAAUUCCCAAAUUGUUGUGAGGCUCACCAAAUUCAUCAAGUAAACGCAAGUUUUAUUCCGAUUAUGGAUUCUCAUUCUUAAAUUCAGUAAGUAAAUGCACCAGUAAUGUGCGUAAGAGAAAAAAAAAAGUUAUGCUUAGUUAGUUAAAAUUUUUUUAUUAAAUUUGAUUAAGUUUAGGCCAGACCAUGCAUAACAAACUCAAUUAUCUACAAAACGAAGAUAAUUACAUAUUAUUUUCCUUUGGUUAUUUUUCAAUAAACUUAUUGCAAAAGAAUAGAAACAGAUUGGUUCGAUGCAAUGUAUAUAAGAGAAAAAAAUUAUGCUCAAUUACUAGAAAAAAGAGGAAGGUUGAAUUUGAUUAAGGUAGCAUUUA
rnacentral:lncRNA from 1 species